GCCUUGAUGGCGUAGAUGGAAGCAUACUCGAUUCGUAUUCGAGAGCUCCAGGGUUCGAAUCCCGGCAAAGGUA
rnacentral:tRNA from 1 species